rnacentral:misc_RNA from 1 species
AAGUCGUAACAAGGUAACCGUAGGUGAACCUGCGGUUGGAUCAUUAGUGAAUGUAGAAGGGGGGGCCUAUGCCCUCUUUUUUCAACACUGCCAACUGUUAUUGUAUCUGGUGGACCCUCCCGUCCACUCUUAAAACCUUUAGCCGGAGUAGUUGGGUAAUUAUUAAUUUUACAACUUUUGACAACGGAUCUCUUGGCUCUC